rnacentral:piRNA from 1 species
UCAGUCUUAGCUUUUGGUGACAUAGGUUA